AUUGAACGCUGGCGGCGUGCCUAACACAUGCAAGUCGAGCGGUAACAGGUGUAGCAAUACAUGCUGACGAGCGGCGAACGGGUGAGUAAUGCUUUGGAAUCUUCCCAGUAGUGGGGAAUAACCAGUCGAAAGAUUGGCUAAUACCGCAUACGUCUGUAAAGGGAAAGCGGGGGCUCGUAAGACCUCGCGCUAUUGGAUGAGCCAAAGUCGGAUUAGCCAGUUGGGGGGUAAUGGCCUACCAAGGCGACAAUCCGUAGCUGGUCUGAGAGGACGACCAGCCACACCGGAACUGAGACACGGUCCGGACUCCUACGGGAGGCAGCAGUGGGGAAUAUUGGACAAUGGGGGAAACCCUGAUCCAGCGACGCCGCGUGUGUGAAGAAGGCCUGCGGGCUGUAAAGCACUUUUAGUGGGGACAAAAGCUACGGAUUAAUACUCUGUGGUCUUGAUUAAACCCAAAGAAAAGACACCGGCUAACUCUGUGCCAG
rnacentral:rRNA from 1 species